rnacentral:rRNA from 1 species
ACGCGACACCUACGGGAGGAGCAGUGGGGAAUAUUGCACAAUGGGGGAAACCCUGAUGCAGCGACGCCGCGUGGAGGAAGAAGGUCUUCGGAUUGUAAACUCCUGUUGUUGGGGAAAAAGAGGAUGGUACCCAACAAGGAAGUGACGGCUAACUACGUGCCAGUAGCCGCGGUAAUCUGAGCGGGCUGGCAAGGC